rnacentral:tRNA from 1 species
GAUUCCGUAGUGUAGUGGUUAUCACGUUCGCCUUACACGCGAAAGAUGCCGGGUUCGAGACUGGGCGGAAACA